GGAGGAUCAUUAUCGUAGGGCUUCGGCCCUGUCGAGAUAGAACCCUUGCCUUUUUGAGUACCUUUCGUUUCCUCGGCAGGCUCGCCUGCCAAUGGGGACCACAAAAAACACUUUGCAGUACCUGUAACAGUCUGAACAAACAAAACAAAAAUUAAAACUUUCAACAACGGAUCUCUUGGUUCUGGCAUCGAUGAAGAACGCAGCGAAAUGCGAUAAGUAGUGUGAAUUGCAGAAUUCAGUGAAUCAUCGAAUCUUUGAACGCACAUUGCGCCCUUUGGUAUUCCUUAGGGCAUGCCUGUUCGAGCGUCAUUUAAACCUUCAAGCUAAGCUUGGUGUUGGGUGACUGUCCGCUUCACUGCGGACUCGCCCCAAAAUUAUUGGCGGCCGGUACAUUGGCUUCGAGCGCAGCAGAAACGCGAACUCGGGCCCGUCGUAUUGGCUCCCAGAAGCUAUCUUCACAAUUUUGACCUCGGAUCAGGUAGGGAUACCCGCUGAACUUAAGCAUAUCAAUAAGCGGAGGA
rnacentral:rRNA from 1 species